rnacentral:tRNA from 1 species
AAGGUUUUAAGUUAAUUAAACUAAUAGCCUUCAAAGCUAUAAAUAUAGAUAGAUUCCUCUUUAAACCUUA